rnacentral:rRNA from 1 species
UACGAAGGGUGCAAGCGUUACUCGGAAUUACUGGGCGUAAAGCGUGCGUAGGCGGUUCGUUAAGUCCGUUGUGAAAGCCCUGGGCUCAACCUGGGAAUGGCAGUGGAUACUGGCGAGCUAGAGUGUGAUAGAGGAUGGUGGAAUUCCCGGUGUAGCGGUGAAAUGCGUAGAUAUUGGGAGGAACACCAGUGGCGAAGGCGGCUCACUGGACUGGUACUGACGCUGAGGCGCGAAAGCGUGGGGAGCAAACGGG